rfam:Triticum aestivum genome assembly, contig: Triticum_aestivum_CS42_TGACv1_scaffold_204512_3AL
UGUGUACUCCCUCCGUUCCAAAAUACUUGACUUCCAUUUGUCCAAAAAUGGAUGUACCUAUAUACUAAGACAUGUCUAGAUACAUAUAUAUUUUGACAAAUAGAAGGCAUGUAGUAUUGUGCAACGGAGGGAGUAGAAU